rnacentral:rRNA from 1 species
UACGUAGGGGGCUAGCGUUGUCCGGAUUUAUUGGGCGUAAAGAGCGUGUAGGCGGCCAGGUAGGUCUGCUGUGAAAACUCGAGGCUCAACCUCGAGACGUCGGCGGAAACCAUCUGGCUAGAGUCCGGAAGAGGAGAGUGGAACUCCUGGUGUAGCGGUGAAAUGCGCAGAUAUCAGGAAGAACCCCCGUGGCGAAGGCGGCUCUCUGGGACGGUACUGACGCUGAGACGCGAAAGCGUGGGGAGCGAACAGG